UGGGCGCGUGGUGCUUAUCUCCCAGCACACCGUGCCCAGCCUCUGUCUUCCACCUCCGUCUGUUGUCCCUCUCCCUUAUCUCCUUCUAGCCGCGCCUGCUCCUUUCCAGCGACUUCCUCUCCAUCUUCUUGGCGCUCGGCCGCCCCUCUCUAGUCUCCAGCGCCCAGCGCGCGUGCCUGGCUAGCCCCAGCUCGGACCGAGCCAUUUCCGCCCGUCCACGUUCCUCCCUGCUCGCGCCCAUCUCCCUGAGCUCCGUGCGCGCGUGCUCCCUACCCAGCCAGCGCUCCUCCCCUCCCCAUCCAUGGCCAUCGCGCCCUUCUUCCCUGCCCCUCCCAUGCUGCCCCUGUUUCCCCAAGCCGCGUGCUCCUUCCUGCUGCCGCGUCCAUGGCGCCCAGCCGAGCCCCUCUUCCAUGGUCGCUGUCCUCUGCUUUCCUUUCUCAGCCUCCACCCCGUCAGGUCGCGCGCUGACCUCGAGCUCUAGCCAUGAGCGUCGGCGUCUUCUAUCUCUAUUCCUCCCUCAACUCCACCAUGCCGUGAAGUUUCCCUGCGCGCAUCGAGCUCCCUACGCCUACCAUUCUAGCAACUCUGGCGUCAACGCUCCCUGUUCUUGUUGCUUAGAGUGCUCCAGCAUCUCGCCACCAUGGCCUUUGCCAUUCGGCGAUCCAAACUAUGUACCUAUGUGUGUGGAAUCGCAGCAGAGCAAUUGGGUGUCAGGGAGGGUGACAGCUCCGUGCAUCGCUUGUGUGGUGCUCGACGUAAUGGCGGAAUUAGAAAUCAUAGCUGUGCUCGUGGCCUUCGAGUUGGAUUAAAUUACUGUGAGGAGAAAAGGAAUCACCGAAAAGUGUGGGGAAGAAGUGUAGUCCAAUACGACACCCGCAAAGUACUUGACAAAUUGUCUAAACCUGGGAUCGUCGCCGUUUCCGUAAAUUCCGUGUCGAUCUGGUUAUGGUGAUCUGACUUGCUAUUCCCUCUUAUAUGAUUGAACGAAUUGGAUAGAUAUAUUGGUUGUGAUAAUUAUCUUGUUAUUGAGCAGGUGCGUUGUAGUUGUAUUAAAUGUUUGUUGAACUGCCUCAUUAUUUACGGUGAUGUAGUUGUGUUCGUAUA